ACUAAGAAAGAGGAAAAUCAGCAGACAGCAGAGCAAGCGUGUAACAUAGAAGCUGCAAGACUGCAGUAAUUUCAGCAGCAAUAGCACAACAACAAUUGUAAGGUGAAAUCACGGGAUAGAUUCUGUGUCAUCCAUACGACAAGGCUGUGCGGAAGUGGAGAUAUAAGUUGAUUGUGGUCUUUGGUAGGUUUCCACUGAUGAAAUGUUUCCACUGGAGUCAGGCUUUCUAGAAAACAUGCAGUUUUCAAACUCUGCCGAGAGGAUAUCUGGCAUGAGGUCAGGUCCCUGGCAGGUGUAAGUUAGAUGUAUUGACUUUACACUGUCUCAGUGAAUUUUACACUAGUUGAAGACAAAAACUUUCUCUGCCAUACAAAUCUAAUAGUUUUACAAAAUUUCUCACAAAAAUACAUGUGUGUGUAUUUUUUGGGUAAUAUUUGUACUUUUUAGGGAAUUAUCUGACUUAGAGUAAUUCAGCUGUUUCAGGCAUCUUUGUAAUGGAAUGUAAAGAGGAUUCCUGCAGUUGCAAGACAUUGGCUAGAAAGGUGUUCCUGUGCCCUAGUAAGAGCAGAAAACACUAGCUAAAAAAUUAUUUAAUUUGUUAUUCCUUCCUCCAGUUGCAUGCAUGGCAGAGAAAUGGCAUUUCUAAAGGAAGCUUAAAAGUAAGAGCUCUUCAAUGCUUAAUUAUUAAAGAGCAGAUUGUUAGGCCAGAAUUUUGAUAACUGUAAUUUGAAGCCAUCUGUCUGAUAUAGUUCAUCCUAUCAUUAAAUUCUUUGUGGAAAUUGUUACGUUCUUCAAAAACAAGAUAAAGUAAUAAACUGAUAGGAUGAAAGGAAAGGAAGGUAUAAUUAAAUCUCUUCUUCAAAUAUGCUUAGUCCCAGAAUGGGUAAUAUGUAUAUAGUAUUCAAGAUAACCAAAACCUACAGUCAAAUCAACAAGCCAUGUGCACAGUGCCUCAUGAAUCACUGAGGCAGCCAUUGUUCAAGAAAGAAGGAAGACAACGGUCUUCGAAACAGCGAAGUACUGAACAGCAGAUAAAAGGAAAAAAUAAUGUAAAUAACAAAACUAUGUUAACAUGCUAGGCAAGCAGGAUAUACUUACCAAUUAAGGUGCAAUCAAAGGCAUGGAGUGCUUAGUUUCUCCAGUGGUAUGAAAUAUUACCACCUAAGAAGAUACUACUAUGGAGAGUCUACUAACAGAUGUUAUAAGGAAUGAAGACAGUGAUUUUUCUCUUACAUCUAGACGAUGGCCUUUGACAGAAUUCAUUAACACUAAGGCACUACUGCAGUGAUGUUUCAGAAUGAAGAUUAUCAUUCGGACAAUGAAAAGCAUGAGCAGAAAAGUAUGGGUUUGUACAGAUAUACAUGAACACAGGCAUAUAUACACCCCCCAAUAUGCCAGGUAUGCCCACAGUUUUGUACAGUAGUUUUUUAAUAUAUCCCUCUUCAUUUCAGCCCUUGUCAGUCUUGUGGGUAUAUAUUUUUGCUUUUUCAGGUAAUCUUAAGAAUUCACAUGCUCAUUCUCAUGCAUGAACAUGCUAUAGCAAAACAGUACAGAUCUGCUAUGGUCAUCAGAAGCGUUCACCUCCAUUUGUAAAGUUCUCAGACGCGUAAAUCAGAGAACAGAUACAAUUUGGGGCAUGACCACAUACACUUCUUACAAUGGGGAUCAUAAAAUAAAGAGCUUAUUGGGUGAAAAUCAUUUUCCUGGCAUGUUUGUGGAUCUCUAUCACAAAUGGAAAAAGUCAGAAAUGAUAAAUCAAACACAGAACAAGAAAACCUCAUGCAACAAAAAUUCUAAUAGGAACAGAAGACCAUUUCUAAGUGUGCCCUACUGAAACACUAAAUCCACUUCCUCAAAAAAUGAGUCUAUUAUUUCAUGGUGGGGGGCAGAUUUCUUGCAAAGCUUGUGAGAAGAGUAAGUCUGCCAACAAGUACAGAAACAAAUCACACAAAUGUUACUUUAUCAAAUGCCUGAUUUCCUGAAAGUUUAAAACAUUGUGCAAGGUCACUCAGCUUCUUUAAAAUAGAAUGUCUGAAUGUAUGAAAGCUUUCCUCUUACAGAAGGGAAAAGGUGGUGAUAUUGAAAAUAUGUAUUACAUCUUAUGUAUAAAAUAUGUAACAGAGAUUAUGUCUAAAAGAAAAUGCUUUUGUUUGUGAACAUGCAACACCGAUAUUUCUUGAUACUAUGUGCUUUUUUAAUCCAACUUCUUCAUGACCUGUCUGUAAAAAUAGUACCUUUAUUAGUAGUAAGAUGAUUUAAUUUUCAAAUCAGUUAAUUCCUCAUUCUUUCUCAGAGGGCUAAUGGAUUUCUAGGACAACAGUGACUGUUUUGAAAACAGUGGGAAUUGGACAGUGUUGUGUAUUUUGGUUUUAUAUCUGGACUAUAAACAUAGAUUGCCUCUGAGUGCAACCUCUGAAAUGCUAGUCACCACAGUCCCUCAUUCAAGAGAAUGAGAACUUAAUGCCUUUGAGAUCUCUUAAGGUAAAAUCCCAUGCCAUUUUCGGCUUGGGAUACAUUCAGGUUAGGGGCCUUACAGAUGAACAUGUUGGAAGCCAUUUAGCACUAGUCUCCAAAAUUAUUUGUCCAGUGAGAGUUAUAAAAUCAAGAGGGCAAUCUGGACUGGUUUUAGGAAUGACUCGGAAAUCAAAGCAAAACUCAGCAAUUCAAAUACAACCUGAGUGGCAUUUCUGUCCUAACUGAAGUGAAGAUUAAAAUAAUAAAACUCACUCUCAUGUCUGAACCUUUGCAAUUGUCUAAACUGAAGAAUUAACGCAUUUUGUUUUCUCUAUAGGCUAUUUUUCCCCAUCAGAAGAUACUCCCUAAAUCUUUUAGACCAGAACUAAAACAUGCAUUUUAAGCAUUUCCCAGUGAGCUGAAAAGCAUUGAUUUUAGGUUUUUUUCAAGAGCCUUCAUUCCAGAAUGUUACUUCCAAAGCAAUGUAAGGAUGAGUCUAGCCUAGGCUAACUGCACUUGCAGCUGCAUUUUAUAUACAGUAGGCUUUAGAUUAACCUUAUUUAUGCUACUGAGGCUACUAUUAAAAAUUUGUUGUAUAACAACAUUGACUGAUCUUAAUGUUUAUAAUUAUGAAAGAUGUGCAGUGGUAUUUUCUGAUUUGUUUAUAUUUCUAAGAAGCUGUGCCUUUUACACUGUUAAAUGAAAGUCACCCCUAUUACUCUGGCCUACUACACUUAAAAUAGUAGUGAAAGCCAUGGUGUAUUAAAAAUACAUGUAUCAAUCCUCAUUAGCUCCUUUCUGAUUAUGACACCAUGCAGAAGCAGGAUUGUUACACUGAACAGAUAACCUAAUCUGAACCACACCCUGGUAUUUGGGGUUUUAUCUUCACUUAAGGGUUCCUUCCCUGUUUCAGCUGAGAUGUUUUACUGUGGAGAGUAUAAAAAGACAAGAGAAUUACAUGCUCAGUCCCCCUGCAAGCUGCACCCCAGGUUUGUAACAGCCACCUUCAGCUGUCAUCAGAGACUUCACCCUGGAAAAAAACAGCCACAUAAAAACAUAUAGUCAUCACUUAAAAAACAGCAGCACUCCCAACAUAGGAUGAAAAGAGAGCAGCGUAAAAUUACGGCUUGGACAUAGUUGGAUGGAGCAAUGCCAGGCAGGGGUUUGGGCUCCAGAUCUGCACAGUAUCUUCGAGACCAAGCACAGCUGUGCCACCCCUGGGAGAGCAAGGUCUGCAUCAUCUGCAAGAGGGCUUGCGUGGACAUGCUACGGCUCCUGGAGCUUGCUAGGAAUGUGGAGCUCUGUGGAGGUGCUUCUCUGAAAGACACGGCACCUGCUGUCAUCACAGUGUAUUCCUGCCUUCAAAUAAGAUUGCUUUCCAGAAGGAAAAUCAAGCCAUGUGCAUUAAGCAGCUAAAUGCAUAGACAGAGCAAAGUGUGCUGUUUGGUUCCUUUUCCCCUGAGACUCAGGCUGCAACAACAUCAGCCAUUUUGCCCAAAGGUAAGAGCGAGGAAUGAUUACUCCCUUGCUGUGUUUUAUCUCACACAGUAGGACACAGAGUCUGAGCAUCAGACAAAAAGCAAAUGGACACUGCUGCUGCCAUGCUAUAAGUGCAAUAUAAAUAAGGCUUCUGCCUAGGAAUUCCAAUGUUUUUUUCAAGUCAUAGUCAUUAUUCGUUAUCCCUUCGGAGCAAAUGUGAGGCUAAAAUGGUAUCUUAACAGCUGUUCAAAAGAAGCCACUUGAGCAGUGAAAGAUGUUGCUGACAAUCUCAGUGUGAUAUUUCCUUUACCCUAUGGAAUAUGAUUUUGAAAGAGAUGAAAUACUAUUUUGAAGUAAGGUGAGAUACAGGAACUUGCCGCUUGUGUCUGAGGGAUUCUGCUCUACUACCCGCCGUGUCACAGGGAUGCGUUCCCCAAACAAUGGAGCUCCCCCGUUGUCCUUCAGAGGCAGACAGAGAUUCAUGACAGUGAUGACUCACAAAGUAAAACUCUCCUUUGCAUGGCUAAGUCAACAUCCAAUUCCACAUCACAACCAGUGUAUGCUGCAAUGAAGAAUUUCUGGAUAUUGUUCUCUCUCUGUUUUUCUGGGCAGCUGGAUUUGUUUCCCCACCUGGAGUACUCUUUCAGCCAUUUCAGGUUUUCCUCCUGCUUAGCUUUUGAAAGCGGCAUGCUUCUUCAAAGUUGUUCAAGCAUUACUUUGAUGAUACUGCCAAGCGUUACUUGGAUAGGCAAACAAGUCCUAAUUAACAUUUCAGUUAAAGGUAUCGGUUCAGUGCAAAGGCACGGCCUUACAGCUAUCUCUUUAAUGAGCAUUAGUCCUCCUAGAGCACCUUGAAAGUGGCCAAAAAAAAAGAUGACUUACCAAUUGGGUCAAGAUCAUCUCAGCAUUCUGGGACGUGCUUGCACAGAUGAAACAGCCUCUGAAGUAUGACAUCUUCUCAUUUUUGACAUUGUAAGUAAGACUGGAAUUUAGCCAUUUAACUCUAGUAAAAUAAGGGUCUUUUAAUAUAGCUAUGUAAGACCUGAUGUGGUGUGGACCUGAUCUGGAACCAUGUCUUUAACAAUAGCAUGUAACAAGUCCUCAAAGGGAGAUACAAGAAACACUGUUUCAAGUAGGUUUUCUUCAUCUUGGAAAAUUCUGCUAUCCUCAUUCACAGAGUGCAAAAAUGGCCUCAUAAUUCACUUGCGAAGUGCUAAACCACCUAUGCCACAAAGGUUGGUUUAUGCUCUCAACUUCAAUCACAGCUUCUGAUAAAGAGUUUUACAAGUUAAUUGUAUGUUAUAGAAAAGAAUAAUUCCUGUUGUUAAUUUUAAAUUAAUUGCUUUCACUAUAAUUUACGA